GACGAACGCUGGCGGCGUGCUUAACACAUGCAAGUCGAACGGAAAGGCCCUGCUUUUGUGGGGUGCUCGAGUGGCGAACGGGUGAGUAACACGUGAGUAACCUGCCCUUGACUUUGGGAUAACUUCAGGAAACUGGGGCUAAUACCGGAUAGGAGCUCCUGCUGCAUGGUGGGGGUUGGAAAGUUUCGGCGGUUGGGGAUGGACUCGCGGCUUAUCAGCUUGUUGGUGGGGUAGUGGCUUACCAAGGCUUUGACGGGUAGCCGGCCUGAGAGGGUGACCGGCCACAUUGGGACUGAGAUACGGCCCAGACUCCUACGGGAGGCAGCAGUGGGGAAUAUUGCACAAUGGGCGGAAGCCUGAUGCAGCAACGCCGCGUGCGGGAUGACGGCCUUCGGGUUGUAAACCGCUUUCGCCUGGGACGAAGCGUGAGUGACGGUAAGGGGUAAAGAAGCACCGGCUAACUACG
rnacentral:rRNA from 1 species